UCCGGCUUAUCACCGGCGGUUUCUUUAGAGUGCCCAACUAAAUGAUGGCAACUAAAGACGAGGGUUGCGCUCGUUGCGGGACUUAACCCAACAUCUCACGACACGAGCUGACGACAGCCAUGCACCACCUGUCAUGGGCCCUUUCGGACACCGUAUCUCUACGGCUUUUCCCAUGAUGUCAAACCCAGGUAAGGUUCUUCGGGUCGCAUCGAAUUAAGCCGCAUGCUCCGCCGCUUGUGCGGGGACCCGUCAAUCCCUUUGAGUUUUAACCUUGCGGCCGUACUCCCCAGGCGGUCAACUUCACGCGUUAGCUCCGGCACAGAGACCGUGGAAUGGCCCCCACACCUAGCGCCCACCGUUUACGGCGUGGACUAC
rnacentral:misc_RNA from 1 species